AACGAACGCUGGCGGCGUGCCUAAGACAUGCAAGUCGUACGGAAAGGCCCCCUUCGGGGGGCACUCGAGUGGCGCACGGGUGAGUAACGCGUGGGUAAUCUGCCUUAGGGUCUAGGACAACCCCGGGAAACUGGGGCUAAUACUGGAUAAGACCACGAGCUCUUCGGAGCUUGCGGGAAAAGAUGGCCUCUCCUUGGAAGCUAUCGCCCUUCGAUGAGCCCGCGUCCCAUUAGCUAGUUGGUGAGGUGACGGCUCACCAAGGCUUUGAUGGGUAGCUGGUCUGAGAGGAUGAUCAGCCACACUGGAACUGAGACACGGUCCAGACUCCUACGGGAGGCAGCAGUCGGGAAUUUUGGGCAAUGGGCGAAAGCCUGACCCAGCAACGCCGCGUGAGGGAUGAAGGCCCUCGGGUCGUAAACCUCUGUCGGGAGGGAGAACGGUUCACGUUCGAACAGGACGGGAGCCUGACGGUACCUCCAAAGGAAGCACCGGCUAACUCCGUGCCAGCAGCCGCGGUAAUAC
rnacentral:rRNA from 1 species